GACGAACGCUGGCGGCGUGCUUAACACAUGCAAGUCGAACGGAAAGGCCCUGCUUUUGUGGGGUGCUCGAGUGGCGAACGGGUGAGUAACACGUGAGUAACCUGCCCUUGACUUUGGGAUAACUUCAUGAAACUGGGGCUAAUACCGGAUAGGAGCUCCUGCUGCAUGGUGGGGGUUGGAAAGUUUCGGCGGUUGGGGAUGUACUCGCGGCUUAUCAGCUUGUUGGUGGGGUAGUGGCUUACCAAGGCUUUGACGGGUAGCCGGCCUGAGAGGGUGACCGGCCACAUUGGGACUGGGAUACGGCCCAGACUCCUACGGGAGGCAGCAGUGGGGAGUAUUGCACAAUGGGCGGAAGCCAGAGGCAGCAACGCAGGGUGCGGGAAGAGGGCCUUAGGGUUGUAAACCGCUUUCGCAUGUGACGAAGCGUGAGUGACGGUAAUGGGUAAAGAAGCACCGGCUAACUACGUG
rnacentral:rRNA from 1 species